rnacentral:rRNA from 1 species
ACGCUCGACACCUACGGGAGCAGCAGUGGGGAAUAUUGCACAAUGGGGGAAACCCUGAUGCAGCGACGCCGCGUGGAGGAAGAAGGUCUUCGGAUUGUAAACUCCUGUUGUUGGGGAAAAAGAGGAUGGUACCCAACAAGGAAGUGACGGCUAACUACGUGUCCAGCAGCCGACGGUAAUCUGAGGCGGGCGUGGACGAAGGC